rnacentral:rRNA from 1 species
UACGUAGGGGGCUAGCGUUGUCCGGAAUCAUUGGGCGUAAAGAGCGUGUAGGCGGCCCGGUAAGUCCGCUGUAAAAGUCAAAGGCUCAACCUUUGAAUGUCAGUGGAUACUGCCGGGCUAGAGUCCGGAAGAGGCGAGUGGAACUCCUGGUGUAGCGGUGGAAUGCGCAGAUAUUAGGAAGAACACCAACGGCGAAGGCAGCUCGCUGGGACGGUACUGACGCUGAGACGCGAAAGCGUGGGGAGCGAACAGG